AGAAGGGACGGACAGGAAAGGGACGAUGGACUCCGUGUGCAUCUGAGGUGCACUUCAGGAAAGACAACUCCAGCUGAAAUUCACUGAACAGAAGACUAGGGGACUGAUGCAAGAGGAAGGGGCAGUGACUUUCAUAAAAUCAACCAGCAGCUCAGUGACACAGUACUGCCUGCAGACCCAC